CAAAGAGUGUAAAGACCAGCGACUCCACCGAGCAAGGACACCGACAAGGCACUUGAGUAAACUUGGCAGUUUCUUGGAGGAGCUUGACGUGCUACUCUCAUCCUUCCCUGAAGAUGGUACUCCUCUUGUAAUUCUUGGCGACUUCAACA